rnacentral:lncRNA from 1 species
GCUAUUUGUCUUCCAGCAGUUCUUUUCUCAUCAGAUUCAGGAAGAAAAUGAGUUUUCAGAGCUUUCUACUGUUGCUUUAAAACUUAAUUCACUCCUAUGCAAAGUAAGCCAGGCAGAGUGAGCCACGACGUGUUUUUUUAUUUUCUUUCUUUCUGCGUAUCUGGCACCACUUUCUCUUGUAAGCUUGCUCUUAAAUGGAGACAGUGCAUCCAAGGAACGGAGGGACAAUGUGACUUUCUGCAGGUGGUUAUACGAAGUUAUACGAAGAGCAGAAAUGAAAAGUGUGUCUUCCAAGACACAGGCCAACAUACUGAAUGUGUUCAUCCUUCCUCCUGUGUCCCCUGCGUGCUCCACGCUGUACUUGUCUGCAGUAUUAGCCUGCAAAGUUGCAGAGCGUUUCACACACGCAGCACUAAGGUAUCUAACAGUGUCUACUGCCGAGAAACACCUGCAUUAACCUUAACUAUCGACAUGCCAGCCAGAAAUAGCAGCUGGUGGGAUCACCUCUCUCAUGAAAGCUGCUGACCAGCUCUGGGUGCCGCUCCAGGCCACUUGGGUGUGUUCUUCAGGAAGAUCCCAGCUCACCGCAGAUGAGGCUGCCAGCUCGUGUCCUCUCCGAGACCCUUUGCGCUAGCAGAAGAUGUUGGGUCCCAUCAGCCAUCCCUGGGUCACCUAUCGUCUUAGAGGCAUCUCCCUCCCCUCCCUGGUGCUUCUGGCUUGCACGCUUGCGCCGUCCAUUAGCCGAAAUGAGCUAGCUCAAACCGGGUAAGUAGUAGAUCGGUGCUAACCCGUGUCACAUUGGCUGAAAGACCAACCACCAGAGCCGUGUCUGCUAGCCAGCAGGAGGAGGACAUUUCAUGGGGUAGGUGACAGCGGCGAGGGAAGGCACUUUCUCUCCCUUCCAGGUAGAUUUUGCUGGUGGGGAGGAGGCAUUUUUGCCUGGUCGACAUCCGGCCUCUGCCUCAAAGACAGCAGCAUGAGAGCACAUGAGCCAGCAUGUGACCUCCGGGGCAUGGAGAGCCUGUUUAACAGAGAAUUUCUGAAGAAAAGGGUAGUGCAGCCAGGAGUGGGUGUAAAUGUUACUGCGGCAUCUACGUGCCCAAUAAUUCUUAAUAAUGGGAGGUUUGCAACAUCUCAUGUGGCAAGGAGGUGCUGCAACUAAAAGGCUUAUUUCAUCUCUCCUAAAAAUCAGAGCUGCUAUGUGAGGCAGUGAAUGAACAGAACUGGUGGAAAGAGAAGAGAAGAGAAGAGAAGGGAAGGGAA